GACGAACGCUGGCGGCGUGCUUAACACAUGCAAGUCGAACGGUGAAGCGCCUUCCUUUUUGGUGGGUGUGGAUGAGUGGCGAACGGGUGAGUAACACGUGAGUAACCUGCCCCCUUCUUCUGGAUAACCGCAUGAAAGUGUGGCUAAUACGGGAUAUUCUGGGUCUGUCGCAUGAUGGGUCUGGGAAAGAUAUUGUUUCGGUGGGGGAUGGUCUCGCGGCCUAUCAGCUUGUUGGUGGGGUGAUGGCCUACCAAGGCGGUGACGGGUAGCCGGCCUGAGAGGGUGGACGGUCACAAUGGGACUGAGACACGGCCCAGACUCCUACGGGAGGCAGCAGUGGGGAAUAUUGCACAAUGGGCGCAAGCCUGAUGCAGCGACGCCGCGUGAGGGAUGGAGGCCUUCGGGUUGUGAACCUCUUUCGCCAGUGAAGCAGGCCUGCCUCGUUUGUGGGUGGGUUGACGGUAGCUGGAGAAGAAGCGCCGGCUAACUACGUG
rnacentral:rRNA from 1 species